rnacentral:rRNA from 1 species
UACCAGCACCCCGAGUGGUCGGGACGUUUAUUGGGCCUAAAGCAUCCGUAGCCGGUUCUAACAAGUCUUCCGUUAAAUCCAACUGCUUAACAGGUGGGCUGCGGAAGAUACUAUAGAGCUAGGAGGCGGGAGAGGCAAGCGGUACUUAGGUGGGUAGGGGUAAAAUCCGUUGGAUCCAUUGAAGACCACCAGUGGCGAAGGCGGCUU